GCGGCCGGGGGCAGCGGCGGGGGAGGCGCAGCUCCGCUCCGGGCUCGGGCAGGGGCUCGAGAUGCGCCCGGGGAGGCAGCGCGGAGCCGCCCGCCCGCCCACACGGCGCUGCACGUGCCCCGAGCCGGCAUGCGGGAGCCCCGGGGCCGCCUGCUCCUUCCCUCCCCACCCCGGCCCCAGAACAGCCGGGACCCGCCUUCUCCGCGCCUCCUGGAUGCUUACUGCUACCUUUUACACGUGGCUAUUCACCAAUUACCAAGGGGAUGAGGAGGAUGAAGCAGAUGAAGAUGAAGCUGGUCCACCAGGAGAGUACAAAGAAGACGAAGAUGAAAAUGAUGGAGGUUCAGAUUUGGGGAGAGUGAAGAGGAGGAAGGAGCUGGCCUUUCAUACCUGAUGACGGACAAGAUCCAGGUAGGACUUACCCUAUUCUACAAUAAGGCUCAGGAUUUUCUUGACACUGUCUAGCUAUAAACGUGUAAUAAGUUAAACGUGUAUAAGCAGAAUCAUGUAAAUCCACUAUCAUACAUGAGCAAUAGAGUACUUUAGAGAGACACCUUUUACUAUCAAAAAAGUGCGUUACAGUAGGGGAACCACCGCUGUUUGGUAUUCUCCGUUAUCUUGCUCAAAAUGAAAUGCUUCACGAUUCAUUACUUCACGGCCUUGUAGAAUUAGUGUCAUUCUGCACCAGAUCACCACGUCCGAUUUGGAGGAGAACGUGGCCGAAACAAAUCCACCUGCCCUACCAGGAUGCUCACAAGUGCCUGGGGCGCUUCAGCCUUGAGAGCCAUGCCCUCACCAUGCAGAUCUGCAGGCUGUCAGGUGUGGGGCUGGGGCUUCCAGGCAGGGGGGAGAGGGUGAGUAUGGAGGAGCUAGGGCCUGAGGGUGCAGGGGGCUGAUCAGGAUGUGAGGGCUGAGGCAAAGGGGAGACAGGCUGGGAAUCCAGGAGUGAGGGCUGGCCACUGAGGAAGAAGUCAGGGAGAGGCUGGAGCUGUGGCCCUGGGAGUGCCGUGGGUCUGGCCAUGCAGGGGAGAGCUGGGGCGGGGAGCGGAGACUUGCCCUGGGUGGGAGCGCAUUGCCCUUGCCCUGGGUGGGAGCACAGGACCUUGAGCUGCUGUUAGUUGAGGGAGGUGGGUGGGAAGUUGGAUCCUGGCAUUUUGGGGAAGGAGGAGGGAUUGGACACUCUUUUCACCCCACUUAUCUCAGGGCCCUUUUCUUUCCUACCCGGGGGGCAGACAGCCCGUGUGAUGUUUGCUGAGCUGACCUGCAGGGAGCCUGAUGGACGCAGGGGAUGGGAACGGGGCUGUGCCGGGUUCACUGCUCUGGGAAGGAAGCGUGUUAGAGCAGAGCAGGCGUGAGGACCAGGACUUGCAGGUUGUGCCCUGCUCUGGCUCUUCGAAAGGAGUGCUGUCCAGCAUGCCAUAGUGAGGGGUAUGGUUUGGGAGGACUCCUGGGUCCUGUUUCUAGCUGAGGGAAGGGGUGGGAGGAAGGCUUUGUGGCUCAGGACUCCUGGCUUCUUUUGGGGAUGUCACUUCCCCAGAAUGAACCCACAAAUCAUCUGUGCAUUGAGUCAAUCGAUCCCUUGGGUGAUGCUGUCAGCACGUACAUGGAGCGGUGAUCAACGUGAGCCAUGAUGCACGACUGAUCCCGCAGACCAGCUGCCAGCUCUGGGUGGUGGAGGAGCAGUCCAUCAGCCACAUCAACGGCGACUUCGACUGCAAGCGGGAGGUGCUGGAGGCCUCGGGCCAGGUCAGCAUUAACUGGCCCCGGGAGUGACCUUGCUGUGGGGAGGCUCCUCGAGGACCUGCCCCUCCCCUCUCAGAGACCUGCCUCCACAGCUUCACGUGCACCCACACCCAGAGGACUCCGUGUAGAGGGGGCAGGGCCGCAGGCAUGGUUGUGGUUGAACUUUGAAGAUGUGUUUUGGGGGCCUAAUGCAAGACAUGUUAUAUUUUUAGAGCUGUUCUUCUACACCUGCUGCUUUCCCAGGAGAGAGAGACUUAAUUUAUAUGAAUGGGAGGGAGGGGGUUGUACUGGAACGGUCUGUUUUAGGCAGGAGUGAGGGCUGUCCUUGUCCCAUUGCUGGGUUCCCUGCCCCCAGUCUGGAGAAUGGCUUGAGCCUUGUUUUGCUUCCACCCAAGAAGAUUAUAUUAAAAUAUAAUAA